GAUGAACGCUAGCGGCAGGCUUAACACAUGCAAGUCGAGGGGUAUAGUUCUUCGGAGCUAGAGACCGGCGCACGGGUGCGUAACGCGUAUGCAAUCUACCUUUUGCAGAGGGAUAGCCCAGAGAAAUUUGGACUAAUACCCCAUGGUAUGUGAGAAUGGCAUCAUUUUCACAUUAUAGUCACAACGGCAAAAGAUGAGCAUGCGUCCCAUUAGCUAAUUGGUAAGGUAACGUCUUACCAAGGCAACGAUGGGUAGGGGUCCUGAGAGGGAGAUCCCCCACACUGGUACUGAGACACGGACCAGACUCCUACGGGAGGCAGCAGUGAGGAAUGUUGGACAAUGGGCGCAAGCCGGAUCCAGCCAUGCCGCGUGCAGGAUGACGGUCCUAUGGAUUGUAAACUGCUUUUGUACAGGAAGAAACACUGGUUCGUGAACCAGCUUGACGGUACUGUAAGAAUAAGGAUCGGCUAACUCCGUGCCAGCCGCCGCCGUAAUAC
rnacentral:rRNA from 1 species